rnacentral:rRNA from 1 species
GAUCCUGGCUCAGGAUGAACGCUAGCUACAGGCUUAACACAUGCAAGUCGAGGGGAAACGACAUCGAAAGCUUGCUUUUGAUGGGUGUCGACCGGCGCACGGGUGAGUAACGCGUAUCCAACCUGCCCACCACUUGGGGAUAACCUUGCGAAAGUAAGACUAAUACCCAAUGAUAUCUCUAGAAGACAUCUGAAGGAGAUUUAAAAGGUAUUUAGUCGGUGAUGGAGUGGGGAUGCGUCUAGUAUUAG